rnacentral:rRNA from 1 species
UACGUAGGGUGCGAGCGUUGUCCGGAAUUAUUGGGCGUAAAGAGCUCGUAGGCGGUCUGUCGCGUCGAUCGUGAAAACUUGGGGCUUAACCCUGAGCUUGCGGUCGAUACGGGCAUGACUGGAGUUCGGCAGGGGAGACUGGAAUUCCUGGUGUAGCGGUGAAAUGCGCAGAUAUCAGGAGGAACACCAGUGGCGAAGGCGGCUCACUGGCCCGGUACUGACGCUCAUGUGCGAAAGCGUGGGGAGCAAACAGG